rfam:Volvox carteri f. nagariensis unplaced genomic scaffold VOLCAscaffold_6, whole genome shotgun sequence.
GGGUUUCUAGCUCAGUGGUAGAGCAGCUGACUGCAGAUCAGCAGGUCUCCGGUUCGAUCCCGGAGGGGCCCU